AUUGAACGCUGGCGGCAGGCCUAACACAUGCAAGUCGAGCGGAGCGGCGGACGGGGGAGUAAUGCCAAGGAAUCUGCCUGUGAGUGGGGGCGAACGUCCGGAAAAGGGCGCUAAUACCGCAUACUAUCAGAUGAGCCUGGGUCGGAUUAGCUAGUUGGUGGGGUAAAGGCCUAGCAAGGCGACGAGCCGUAACUGGUCUGAGAGGAUGAUCAGUCACACGGGAACUGAGACACGGUCCAGACUCCUCCGGUAGGCAGCAGUGGGGAAUAUUGGACAAUGGGCGAAAGCCUGAUCCAGCCAUGCCGCGUGUGUGAAGAAGGUCUUAGGAUUGUAAAGAACUGUAAGUUGGGAGGCGUUACCAACAGAAUAAGCACCGGCUAACUCCGUGCCAGCAGCCGCGGUAAUUC
rnacentral:rRNA from 1 species